rnacentral:rRNA from 1 species
AGUGAACGCUGGCGGUAGGCCUAACACAUGCAAGUCGAACGGCAGCACAGUAAGAGCUUGCUCUUACGGGUGGCGAGUGGCGGACGGGUGAGGAAUACAUCGGAAUCUACUUUUUCGUGGGGGAUAACGUAGGGGAACUUACGCUAAUACCGCAUACGACCUACGGGUGAAAGCAGGGGAUCUUCGGACCUUGCGCGAUUGAAUGAGCCGAUGUCGGAUUAGCUAGUUGGCGGGGUAAGGGCCCACCAAGGCGACGAUCCGUAGCUGGUCUGAGAGGAUGAUCAGCCACACUGGAACUGAGACACGGUCCAGACUCCUACGGGAGGCAGCAGUGGGGAAUAUUGGACAAUGGGCGCAAGCCUGAUCCAGCCAUACCGCGUGGGUGAAGAAGGCCUUCGGGUUGUAAAGCCCUUUUGUUGGGAAAGAAAAGCAGCAGGUUGAUACCCCGCUGUUCUGACGGUACCCAAAGAAUAAGCACCGGCUAACUUCGUG